rnacentral:lncRNA from 1 species
AAAUUAUAAAAUAACCAAAAUAAGAAGAAUAAACUAGAGCAAACACAUAAUCUAACCCUAAAACCUCCACAAUCAUAAAGAAAACUAAAAUGACAUAAUAACGCUAACUCAAUAAAGGUCUGAAGCUGAAAAGAGAUCGAGAACCAAAACUAACUUACCAUAGAGUAUCUUGGCCAGAACAAGCAUAAGUUAGAGAAUGGUCGAAAGAUAAAAUCUGAGACAAAGCAAUCUCC